UACAGAUGGGAAAGCAUGAUGACUGGCUAUAUCCCUGUGCCAAACCAUAAUGUUAUCUGUGGAGGACAAGGAAAUGGAGCUCCCUGAAGCAGACAGAGGGGCAUGAUCUGUGAACCCAGGGCUUUCCGUUGGUGAAAUCCAGCUGGAAGUCAGAAGAUCCGAGACCUUGACGAUGCAGUCCUUAUUGGUCAGCGCUCCAGAGCAGAGACCUAGGGAGUCUCUUUCACCCAGGAGAAGAUGAAGACAAAGUGCUGUAGUCUGAACAGAAAGUUAAGUGGAGAAAACAUGGGGCUCUACUUUCAUUAUUGGGGUAUAAUGGGAGGCAGAGGUAAGACCUGUGGUCGUAGCAAAAUAGAAACAUCUCCUACAGAGCCUGACAUCAGAAAUACAUGAAUACAGAAGAAAAACCAAGGUGUGAAAUGUACAAAGCCUGAAGAUAGUCUGUGGAAAAUUCUUCCCAUGAGAUAUGUAAAAAAGCAG
rnacentral:lncRNA from 13 species